rnacentral:lncRNA from 1 species
CGAUUUUAUCAUACCAUACAGCACCAUCCACCAUUACCACACUGUACUACGCCAUACGAACUGGAAGUCCAAGGCGGUUGAUCCUGCCUUCUAGGAUCCCUGCUCAUCCAUUCACCCGAACAUCCGCAGAGACAGAGGGUUCGGCAAUCGCCACCAAUCCAGCGUGCGAAUCUCGAUCCAUCAACUGCGAUCUCAACUCCACAUCUCAGCAGCAAGCCAUGAUCUCGCGUUCCCGACAGUGUCGGGGGUCUCCCCAGGAAUCGAACCAAGGAUCUUUAACUGUCUAAGACAACUGUAUAAGACAGUAGUGUCGCCCACAGACUUGGCUGCGAGGGGACGCUGGCGCGGUGAGAGGGAGCCUAAUUUGGGCUUAGGUCUGUGUGGGGGUGGGGAUGGGCGUCAGCAGAAAGGUGCGAGAGGUGAUCCGGUGCCAAGGCUAUUGUAUGAGAUUGGAUGAGGGGCCCAGAGUGGAAAGGGGUGAUGAUCCCUACCUGGGCAGGCACGUCGCGUCAGUCCAGCCGAAGGAGACGCGAAAUGAGUAGGUGACGAGUCACAUGAUUUGGAUGCAAAAAGCAGCAAUAGUAAUAGUAACACGUGUUUAUUAUACGCGUUCAUAUGACUAUGCCAGGGAUUAGGGUUUACCGGUGUUGAUGAUGCUCAUGGCUUGGAAGCCAUGGCCUUAGGAGGGUUAUGGAGAGCUGUGCAGGGAAAAUUCAAAGUUCCUUUUGUGUGAGCCAUGAGCACUCGUUCCCAAUUCCCAAAUUUACCGCGACGCCACUGCGCAACCUGCUUGAAAUUGAUUACGGCCAACAGCUCGGUCAAACAAGUCUUUUG